rnacentral:rRNA from 1 species
CGCGGCCUAUCAGCUUGUUGGAGAGGUAACGGCUCACCAAGGCAUCGACGGGUAGCUGGUCUGAGAGGAUGAUCAGCCACACUGGGACUGAGACACGGCCCAGACUCCUACGGGAGGCAGCAGUGGGGAAUCUUGCACAAUGGGCGAAAGCCUGAUGCAGCAACGCCGCGUGCGGGAAGACAGCCCUAGGGUUGUAAACCGCUUUCAGCAGGGAAGAAACUGACGGUACCUGCAGAAGAAGGUGCGGCCAACUACGUGCCAGCAGCCGCGGUAACACGUAGGCAUCAAGCGUUAUCCGGAUUCAUUGGGCGUAAAGAGCUCGUAGGCGGUUCGGUAAGUCGGGUGUGAAAACUCUAGGCUCAACCUAGAGAGGCCACUCGAUACUGCUGUGACUAGAGUGCGGUAGGGGAGCGGGGAAUUCCUGGUGUAGCGGUGAAAUGCGCAGAUAUCAGGAGGAACACCGGUGGCGAAGGCGCCGCUCUGGGCCGUAACUGACGCUGAGGAGCGAAAGCAUGGGUAGCAAACAGGAUUAGAUACCCUGGUAGUCCAUGCCGUAAACGUUGGGCACUAGGUGUGGGUCUCAACCAACGAGAUCCGCGCCGCCGCUAACGCAUUAAGUGCCCCGCCUGGGGAGUACGG